GUCACGGCAUCGUCAUUUGCUAAGCUCCAGUCACUAGGGGGAGCUCUGGCUCUCAAAAAGCAUUUGGCUUCAGCCUGUUCAGUCCGUAACCUAAGAGUGCGUGACAAGAUUGCUCAUAACGUGACUCCGUCUUUUCAAUGCAGGCAACUACACAGGGAACAAUGAAACCGAAGUAUGGGACACAAGGACAACACUGUCUAGCUAAUGAAUGAUCCCUGCUCCCUCACAAGAUAGGGAAGCCCAAUAGCUGCAGCAAGAAGAGUCAAUGCCUGACCACAAGGAGUGCUCCCCUAGGCCAUGCUGCUUAUGCACAUGUAUGCCUCUACACUUCUGGUUACAAGGGCCUUCACCACACCAGCC